rnacentral:lncRNA from 1 species
AAACAUAACAUCACAUGAUUUUAUGACACAUUAUUGUCCAAACACAACACAAUAGUGUCUAUUUUGUUGCCAUUCUGCAAAUAUUUGGUUAGUUAGCUAAUCUUCCCAAUCAUUCCAAGCACUUGAUGUCUCAAUUAUGAUGAUAUUAUCCUCAAGCAACUGACAAGUGGUCUCAAAGUCCUCAUCUCUCAAGUCUGCUUCUAUCGGAUAAAUAUUUUUCUUUCUAAUGAAAUUAUGGAGUAAACAACAAGCAAUGAUGAUCCAACAGA